rnacentral:rRNA from 1 species
AUUGAACGCUGGCGGCAUGCCCUACACAUGCAAGUCGAACGGCAGCAUGGAGAGCUUGCUCUCUGAUGGCGAGUGGCGAACGGGUGAGUAAUGCAUCGGAACGUACCGUGUAAUGGGGGAUAACGUAGCGAAAGUUACGCUAAUACCGCAUACGACCUGAGGGUGAAAGCAGGGGAUCGCAAGACCUUGCGUUAUACGAGCGGCCGAUGUCAGAUUAGCUAGUUGGUGAGGUAAAGGCUCACCAAGGCGACGAUCUGUAGCGGGUCUGAGAGGAGGAUCCGCCACACUGGGACUGAGACACGGCCCAGACUCCUACGGGAGGCAGCAGUGGGGAAUUUCGGACAAUGGGGGCAACCCUGAUCCAGCCAUGCCGCGUGAGUGAAGAAGGCCUUCGGGUUGUAAAGCUCUUUCGGCCGGGAAGAAAUCGCACAGGCUAAUACUCUGUGUGGAUGACGGUACCGGCAUAAGAAGCACCGGCUAACUGCGUGCCAGCAGCCGCCGCAG